CAAAUCUUUAGGCUCAACCUAAAGGCCGCGUAUGAGACUGUAAGACUAGAGAGUGGGAGAGGUAGAUGGAAUUGCUGGUGUAGCGGUAAAAUGCGUUAAUAUCAGCAAGAACACCGAAGGCGAAGGCAAUCUACUGGAACAUUUCUGACACUGAGGAACGAAAGCGCGGGUAGCGAAUGGGAUUAGAUACCCCAGUAGUCCGCGCCGUAAACGAUGAGUGCUAGGUAUUGGGAGUAUCGACCCUCUCAGUGCCGGUUAACCAAGCUAACGCAUUAAGCACUCCGCCUGGGGAGUACGGUCGCAAGACUAAAACUCAAAGGAAUAGACGGGGACCCGCACAAGCGGUGGAGCGUGUGGUUUAAUUCGAUGAUAAGCGAGGAACCUUACCUGGGCUUAAAUCAUAGCUGCAAGCCCCCCGAAAGGGGAGCCUCUUUCGAAGGUGCUAUGAAGGUGCUGCAUGGUUGUCGUCAGCUCGUGGCGUGAGCUGUUCCCUUAAGUGGGGUAACGAGCGCAACCCUCGUCACGUGUUAUAUGUGUCACGUGAGACUGCCCUCGCAAGAGGGAGGAAGGUGAGGACGACGUCAAAUCAGCAUGGCCCUUACGUCCAGGGCGACACACGCGCUACAAUGGCCGGUACAACGGGUAGCCAAACCGCAAGGUGGAGCUAAUCCCACAAAACCGGUCCCAGUUCGGAUUGGAGUCUGCAACUCGACUCCAUGAAGUCGGAAUCGCUAGUAACGGCAAAUCAGCCACGUUGCCGUGAAUACGUUCUCGGGUCUUGUACU
rnacentral:rRNA from 1 species